AUUUAAUUAUAUAAAUAUACAUAUACUAUACAAAACAAUUCAAAAUGGCGGUUUCUCUCCACAGUGUCCACAAGAGUGCAAGCAUUGUCAAUUGAACCAUUGACUAGAGCGUUGAGGAAUGGAAGAAAAAGAAGAAGGUGAAAUUUCAUUAGAAGAUGUAAGUUCGUCGGAAGAUUUAAAUUUAAAUAAUCAUCGAAAAAAAAAAUCCAGAUCACAUAAAAAUAAAUCAUCUAAAACUAAAAUGGGUGAUAGACGAGUCGAAGUUGAUAUUCCUUCUCAAGAUGCAGCUUGCGGUAAGGAAAAUCGUCAAUGUUCCAACGGAUUCGUUGCACCAGAUCAUAGGAUAAUCAUUAAACGAGAAGAUUCGAAAGAUGGGUUUUUACCAAUAUCUAGUGAUGAAGAUACAGAACUUAUCAGUAUGCCUGGAAGCUCAAAACAAUAUCUUAUCAGAACAGGGCAGAAAAAAAGACGAAAAAAAAAAAAGAAAAAAACUGCAGGAGCAAGAAUGCUAACAAUGGAUGAUUUAGAAUCAGAUGUAGUUGUUGGUGUACGACUUCCAGAUGACAGAGAUCUUAUUCCACCACCAAGAAUUUAUAAUGCACCACCUGUAAUUUACAGCGAUACGCGUGAAUCGACAACUCAUCAAUCUUGUUUUCAACCUUCCCAAUCUUCAAGACAACAUUAUCGUUCUCCAAUUAAAUCAUCAUAUAGAUCUCCAGUUCAUCAUUCGCGUUCACCAUCACCUCGUCGAAGAUCACCCCGUAGAUUUUUACCACCUGCUAAACCAUCAACUUCUUCAUUACCUCCUAAACAUUGUCCACACAAAGUUUCACCAGCUAGACGUUAUAAUGAAACAUACAAUUCAUCUUUAUUGAAAAAAGUUAAAGAAUAUGAUACUACAGCAAUUACUCCAGCAAGACAAAAUCGACAUAAAGAAUGUUCAUUGAAGGACAAGUUAAGUAAUAUGGGUAAAUUACAUUCAGAUUCAAAAGGAAGUGAUAAUAAUAAUCGUAAAGAAAUAAAUGAAAUAAAAAAAGACAUUGAUGAGGAAGAUAUUGACACUCUACGGCGUCUUGCUCUGGAUACACAACAUUCUAAAUGUGAUGAUGAGCAACAAAUAAACCAUGACGAUAAUUCAGCAGGAUCUGAUGACACGCCAACUCUUUCUUUCAAUAGUAAUGAUCACAAUGUUGAAGAAUUACAAUUACGUGCUGAUGCACUUAGGACUGCGGUAAUAAAUAAAUUUAAUGAAAGAAAAAAGAAGGGAUUAAUAAGAAAACGAGAUAAAGAAGUGAAAACUGAAGUUACUUAUGAUGAUAGUCUGUUGAACGAUGUAAUAGAUAAUUGUGAAGAAAUAUAUUCACCUGCAGUUUCAACUGCACAUAACGGAGGUAGUGAUAUUGCUGACAUGGAAUUAGACUCUGAUUUAGAACGGGAGAAAAUAAAUUCUCAACCUUAUUCUCCUUAUUCACCAACAGAUGUAAUAUUAGGAGAUACAUUUGUUAAUGGAUAUUCAAAUGAUUUAGAAGACAAUAAAAAUGGAAUUAUUGAUCUUGAAACUCCUUAUUCACCAUCUGAUCCAACAGAUAUAUUAGCUAACAAAUUUUCACCAAUUACUAAAUUUAAUUAUCCUACUCCCGAAAUAAAUUUCACAAUACCCGUAAUUCCCGAUCCUAAAAAAUCUUAUUUACCAGCUUCUAAUCCUACUAUCCAUAAUAUAGAAUCAUCUAUAUCUCCUUCAAGUGUUCCAAUUAUCAAUAGUUCAAUAAUACCUACUACUUCAAAUGAUCCAACAAACAACAAUAUACGUUCAGCGUUUAAUGAUUCACGUACAAUGCAUCCAAAUGCACUUAUUUCUAAUCAAAGUAUAUCAAAUAAUCUAUCAGUGCCAUUAGAACAAAUAAAUUCAUCAUUAUCAGUGAAUUUAACUCAUUCUUAUCAAGUAUUAUCUCCACUUCAAAGCUCAAUAAUUCCAAAUACAUUAGAAUCAAUUCAACGACCGGAUAAGGUAAUAAAUUCAUCAAUUCGUGGAGCUAAGAAAAAAGAUGAACUAUAUGAUGAAGUUAUUCGUGAUCUUGAAGAAGACUAUGGUCCUAUUUGCCGUGAUGAUACUUCUGAUAGCAACAAAGAUACAAAUAAAAUGUCUACACAAGUUAAUAAGUUGGUACCAGUCCCAAUUUUGAGAAUAAACAAACAUUUGCAACAACCAUUACCACCGAAAAAAAUUGAUAAUAAUCCGGUAAAAGUAUUUAAAAGCGCAGAAAUGCAACCUGUUGAUGUUAAUAAUCAAUCUGUUAAAACUAAUGCCACAUUUAAACCAAUUAAAAUUCCACAGGUUGUUAAAAAACCAUUAGCAUCAACUUCUGCAGAAGCUUUUAACAGUUCUUUAAAUGAUGAUACAAGUAUUGAAUUGCCAAGUGAACAAAGUAAUGUUAGAACAACUCAAAGUUUAAAAAUUUCUGAUGAACCAUCAAAUGGUACUAAUGCGGACAAAGAAUUAGAAACGGUAGUAGAUCAAUCUAAAAGAAAACCUGGAAGGCCUAAAACACCAGCUAAGAAAAGUAUAACUACAAAAAAGACUAUUAAUGCUACGUAUGCUACGACCACUAGUACUACUUCAAUUUCAUCUAAUAAAAUAAAAUCUUUGAAUGAUAGAAACUUCAAUAAAAAAUAUUCCAAAGAUAGUGACAGUUCAAAAAAAGAACAAACAAAUAAUAUUAAAAUUAAUGAAGAGUCGAAAAAAUCAGAUUCAAUAACAAAACGUUUGACAAGUAGUAAUAAAUUAGAUAAAAAAUCCGAUGAAAAUUCCAAAGAUAAUCUUUUAAAUAAAACUAAUGAAGUUAUAAAACAAAAGAAAGAUAACUCUAAUAAUAAAGUUUCGAAAGUUAAAAAUAUAAAAAAAUUAGGAACUUCAUCUACAAAAGAAACUAGUAAAAGUUUAGAUACUGAUAAAUCUUUAAGUGGAAAAAAAUCUAAUGAUAAAAAACGGCGAUCAAGUUUUGAAGAAGAAGAAUUGCGGGCAUUAGCAUUAGCAUCAUUACCAAAACGACUUAAAUUAUCUGAAUCUUCGAGUUCAAACAAUAAAGAAUCGGAGUCUACUAAAGACGUAUCAAAAGAUAAACUUAUAUCAGAAAAAAUAAAUGAAACUAUUGUUAAAAUAUCAGCAACCAAUAAUUUACCUACGACAAAUACGAUACAAAAUCGUGAAAAACAAAUAAGUUCGAAGAUUAAUGUACCAUCUGAUAAGAUAUUAAAUGAACCAGUUCCAGUUAGUAAACGUCCAAGCACAACAAAUAUUCAAGCUCCACUUAAGAAAAUAAUUAAAAAAUCAAUUCAACCAACUGACAAAUCUACUGCUGAAUCUAUUCAAAGCACAAUAGAUUCAGUGAUACAAAAUAAAAUAGUUCAUAACCAAAAGAAAAUAGCUUCAUUACUGCAACAGACUAAUAUCUUUAAAAACAAUACGAAGAUCAAUGAUCCAGUUGAGUUACCGACUUCGAAAAUAACAUCAUCAAAGAAAAUACAACGAAUGGUGAUAAAUCUUGGUGAAGAUUCAGAUACUGAUACUGAUUCAGAAACAACAUCAAUGACAACAUCAAAACCAAGUAACUUUAAAACUCCUACUACAAAUGCUACUAAACCUUUAUCUAUACCUACUACAGAAUUUGAAAAAAGUCUCGAGGAAUUUUUACGAUCACAAAGAGAAAAAACAGAGGCUACUGCGUCAAAAUCAUCGAGUUCUACAUCCAAUAAGACAUCAGAUCUUAAUAAAACACCACAAGCUAUGCGUCAUUUACCACCCAAUAAGCAGGAAGAAUAUCGACGUCUUAAACAGCGAGUCGCAGAACUAGAAAAAACAAAAAAUCUUACCAAUGAAAAACGAUCGCAAAAUGUCGAAAAGUCUGCACCUGUUGUUAAACCUACAGAAUCAAUUUGUUCUACAAAGAAUCAGCCAAAAAAAGCUUUAAAAACUUCGGUAUCUCAAAAAACUUCAGCAACUGUAACUGUUUCUACUUCUUCUACUACUAAAUUGUCUACUUCAAUAACUAAUAAUAAAUUAUCAAGUAAUUCAAGUGAUUCAUCAUCGAAAAAUGAAGAGAAUCGAUUAAAAAUAAUUGCCAAUUGUACUCAAGAACUUCUUAAAAACAUUCCCAGAGCGAGUUCUAAAAUUCAUUCUUCAUUCAAGGCUAAUGAUGAUGUUAAUGAUGCGACUGUUGAUAAUUUAACAGAUCAAACAAUUGCUCAAACUCUAGAUAUAAAACCUAAUACUGCAGAACUUACUAGUAGUAUAACUGAAACUGUUACUAGUACAGCUAGUAAUGAUUUAUUCGAAUAUAUUAAUCAUUUGAAUGAUCCUAUGUCAGAAUCAUUUACUUUCGAAGAACAAAAAAUUGAUCCAAAUAUUAUUGCGAGUGUUUUUGAAACACCUGUCGUGCCAUCUAAUGUUAUAAAUUGGCCGACAAUGAUUACGGAAAAUUCAUCAGUCAAUAAUACUUUAGAAAAAAUUGUUAUUCAAAUUUCAAACACUCGUGAUGUUGGUUUACCACAACGUAGACAAGUAAGUAUUAUUAAAAAAGACAAGGAUCAAUCAGAAGAAGUAAAUUCUCCAAAAAUUCCUGCGCCAUUCCUAAGAAUUUUAACGGCUGAUCAGUUGAAUAUGCGAGCUAAUAAUGUACAAGAAACUGAUCAAGAACAAGAAAAUGCUGUACUCAAUGAUAAUAAUAACAGAAUUGAUAUUAGUGAACCACAAAUAAUUAAUAAUAAUAAUACUAAUCUAUUUAUGAAUUGUGAUGAUAAUAAUUUAGUUGAUGAUAUAACGAUUGAAGAAACUAAAAUAGAUAUAAAUAUUGAGGCUGAAGAAAGAUUGAUUUUAACUAACGAAUCAAACGAAAAUUUAGAAUCAUCUUCAAUAACUAUUGCUCCUAAAAAUGAGUCGGUAAAUUCUGAUUCAAAUAGUUUAUUAGAGUCAACUAUUAGAUUAGAUUAUUUACAAUUAGAAAAUCAAGAAGUUACAGAAGCAUCAUCAGUUAAUGAAAAUCAUAAUCGAAUAUUAUCGGUACAAGAACAAGUAGACAAAAUGGAUGCUGAAGUUAGAGUUGAAGUUGAACAAUAUAAAAAUCUUCCUUCAGAACAACAACGAAUUAAACUGACAACGAUGGAAAAGGAACUAUCUGAGAAAAGACAAAUACGAUUGGAUGCAUAUAACCGUUUGGCUAAUGGUCUACACGAACUUGAAGUUGAACGUGAAGUUCAAUCACAAUUGUCUGCUGAAGUAAAAAGAUUGCGUUCAGAAUUAAAGUUAGCUGAAGAGCGAUUGAAAACACAACAAGACAAAGUAUCUAGUACGACAUCGGAAGUACUGAGUAAUCAAACUGCAGUUAAUAAUCGAAGACUUGAGUGUAUUAAACAUUCACGUAUUUGUACUGAAAUGGGAUUAUUUAUUAUAGGAAAAGAAUACAAAGUACCACCUGCUGGAAAUCAAUCAUCAUUGGAAGCAGUUCAAGAAGUUGCAAGUCGUAUAAAAAGAUUAGCUAAGAAAAAAGUUCCGUCGGGUGACAAUAAUAGUAAUCAACAGUCUACUGAUAAAACGUCAGAAACAUCAAUAGAUAAUUCAAAUAAUGAUAGAUCAGAUGCUCAAAUUCAGUUAGAUCAAACUAAUAUAAUAAUAAAUGAACAAAAUUCAAAUGAUAAUACUACAUCAUCUGAACAAUCAACUUCAAUAAAAACUGAAAAUUUUGAUAGUCAAGAAUUGUUAGAACCAUUGCCAAUUAAUUCUGAUACAUCACAAAAUUUAGUGAUCAAUCAAGAAGACUCGACUACUGUGAGUGCAGCUAAUACAGAUUGUCAAUCAUCCAUCAAUGAUUCGGUAACUAUUAAAAUUGAAGAUCCUACUGACGAAAAAUUAGAAACGGCUUCGACCAAGUCUGCAUCGAGUUCAAAAUCUGUUAAAAAUAAAUCUAAAGAAAAAAACAAUGAUAAAGAUACUUAUGAUAGUAAUAUAAAUUAUGAAGAGAUGCCUAUUAAACAAGAGAUUAUAGAUAUUGAAUUAGAAUCGCUACCAGUUGAUUCUGAAUCGAAUAUAUCUUAUCCAAAUUUAGAAAAUGAAUUGAAUCAAAUAGAAAUGAAUUUUAUUGCUAAAGAUGAAGUAGACAAAGAACUGGAUGAUUAUAAUGAACUUGAGUCUCGUUUAACUCCAAUUGAUCCAACACUACCUGAAGAAUCGUGUCCAAAUGAAUCGACUACUACAAAUUUGAUACAAGAAAAUAUAGACUCUAUUCAACCCAAGACUGAAGAAAAAAUUGAUCCUUCAAUUGAUACUACAUUACCAGUAUUUUCUAAUACACCUGUUCAAAACUCUUCAUUAAUUCGGCCAACUGUACGUACUGCUCAAUUUAGUGCUUCCCUUAGCAAUACUAUGGAGUUUGAUGAGACAAAACCUGAAGUAAAUAUUGAAAGUCCAUCAAAGACGCGGGUAAAUUGUUUACCAGGUAGACGUAAAGACAAUGAUAAAAAUAAACCAGCACAACCAGUACAAUCUUAUGAGUCAAUUUUACCAGCAUUUAACCCAACUAGAAACUUGGAUCCAAACGCAGUUUUGUGUCCUUACGAAUUAAAAGGAACGUGUAAGGACGACGCUUGUAUAUACGCUCAUCUUAAUCGCAGACCCACAUCGUAGCAUUUAACGCUACAAAUAUGAGAGAUUUCAACUAUUUUUUGAUACGUAAGAUGGUUCUAUAGUCUAACUAAUAUGAAGAAUCUGUAAUUUAUUUUUAUAAUAUUUUGAUGAACAUCUUUCUUGAAGUAUAUUCAAUACAUUAGUGAAUUUAAUUAUAGAAGAUAAUAAUUUUGUACUUGAUAAUCCAGCGAUACCGAUUCUGGACCGAUUAUCUAUCAGUCUGCGGAUGGUAAGUUGUCUUUUUCAGGAACAAACAAACAAACAAACAAACAAAAACAAAGUUGAUCGGAUUAUUUUUAUCAGAAUUAUAUUCAGUGAAUAUUAACUCAUAUUUAAAGAUUAAGAAAAAAAAAUUAUUUUUGUUUUAUAUAAUUUUUUUUAGUUAUUUUUCAAACGUGCUCAUUAUUGAUGAUGAAAUUUUUUUUUUUAUUUCACGAAGAUGUGAAAAGAGCUUUUAUAUAAAACGUUCGUGCAUAUUAUAUAUAGUUUAUAAAACAACGUAAAUAUUAACAUAAGAAGUAUCAGAGAUAAAGUGUAUAAAAAUAUUUAAAAAUUUUAAGUUACAUGAAUAAUCUAAAGAUCUAAGUAUAUCGAUAAAUAUCAACUUAAUUAGACUCGUUGGAAUAAAAUAGUGUUUUUGGAUAGUGUAAAUAUAUAACGUAUAUACCUCAUAAAAAUACACGUUCUGUACCUGUGUAAUAAAGUUGAAUAUUUUUUUUUUAAU